rnacentral:rRNA from 1 species
GAUCAUGGCUCAGGAUGAACGCUAGCGGCAGGCUUAACACAUGCAAGUCGAGGGGCAGCAUAAUGGAUAGCAAUAUCUAUGGUGGCGACCGGCGCACGGGUGCGUAACGCGUAUGCAACCUACCUUUAACAGGGGGAUAACACUGAGAAAUUGGUACUAAUACCCCAUAAUAUCAUAGAAGGCAUCUUUUAUGGUUGAAAAUUCCGAUGGUUAGAGAUGGGGCAUGCGUUGUUA